rnacentral:rRNA from 1 species
AGUGAACGCUGGCGGCAGGCCUAAUACAUGCAAGUCGAACGGCAGCACAGCAGAGCUUGCUCUGUGGGUGGCGAGUGGCGGACGGGUGAGGAAUACAUGGGAAUCUGCCCAGUCGUGGGGGAUAACGUAUGGAAACGUACGCUAAUACCGCAUGCGCCCUACGGGGGAAAGUCGGGGACCGCAAGGCCUGACGCGAUUGGAUGAGCCCAUGUUCGAUUAGCUAGUUGGCGGGGUAAAGGCCCACCAAGGCGACGAUCGAUAGCUGGUCUGAGAGGAUGAUCAGCCACACUGGAACUGAGACACGGUCCAGACUCCUACGGGAGGCAGCAGUAGGGAAUAUUGGACAAUGGGGGCAACCCUGAUCCAGCCAUGCCGCGUGAGUGAAGAAGGCCCUCGGGUUGUAAAGCUCUUUCGGCAGGAACGAAACGGCGGGCUCUAACAUAGCCUGUCAAUGACGGUACCUGAAGAAGAAGCACCGGCUAACUACG